rnacentral:lncRNA from 1 species
GUGGUAGGUGGAAUAGUGUUUGAUCCAAGGGCUAUUUGUAAUCAAAAAGUAGAUCCAAUGGCUAAAAACGUGAUAGCAACAUGGGGAUGAUACUUGUAAAAGUAUCCUAGAUCAACUAUAUAUAUAUAGAAUUAUACUACUAUAGUAUUGAUAGUACCAAACAUUUGGUAUUAUCGAGUUUUUGGCCAUUGGAUGAAAGGAUGUUCAGUUAGGAUAAUAGUGGCCCCCUAGGGUUGAGUGGGUGGUUGGUUGAAUAGAAUAAUCUAAGAAAAUGAUCAAAGAAUAGAUCUAAUGGCAGAGAAUUCGAUAGUAUCAAGAGCUUCGUACUAUCGAUAGUAUAAUAUUCGGACUAUAUAUAUAGAAAGAGCUAGACUGGUAUAUUAUCAGUAGCACGGAGGCCUCCGUGCUACCAAGUUGUUUUCAAUGAUGCCGCUUCUAAAUCGACAAUCGGCUCUGUUAGACUUGAUCUACACUAUUGAAAGUAUUUGAAAACUAAAUUUCAUAAUUUUUCGGUACCAUUUACCUAUCAAACGAGUAGUCUAAAAAUGAACGGCUGAAAAUAAAAAUAUCAUAAAAAAUGAUGAUAGAAGACUUGAAUUUAAAAUCCGAGGUACUGAUCUUACUCUAAAUAGUAAAAAUAAUUUUCUAUAAAAAUUUCAUAUGAUUUGGAUUAUUUUACACCGUUAAAUUUACAAAUAUAUCACAUUUACUAUUAAAAUUGUUAAUUUUCAGACAUUUUGAUCACUAGCCAAAUGAUGUCGAAAAAUUAUGAAAUUUAGUUUCGAAAUAUUUUUAAUAGUGUAGAUCAAGUCUAACGGAGCCAAUUGUCGAUUUGAAAGCCGCAUCAUUGAAAACAACUUAGUAGCAUGGAGGCCUCCGUGCUACC